rnacentral:rRNA from 1 species
AAAUGAAUUGACGGGGGCCCGCACAAGCGGAGGAACAUGUGGUUUAAUUCGAUGAUACGCGAGGAACCUUACCCGGGCUCGAACGGCAGCUGAAUAUGGUAGAGAUAUCAUAGUCUUCGGACAGUUGUCGAGGUGCUGCAUGGUUGUCGUCAGCUCGUGCUGUGAAGUGUCGGCUUAAGUGCCAUAACGAGCGCAACCCUUGCCGUUAGUUGCCAUCAGGUUAAGCUGGGGACUCUAGCGGGACUGCCACCGCAAGGUGUGAGGAAGGGGGGGAUGACGUCAAAUCAGCACGGCCCUUACGUCCGGGGCGACACACGUGUUACAAUGGCGGCUACAGAGGGAUGCUACCUGGUGACAGGAUGCUGAUCUCGAAAAGCCGUCCCAGUUCGGAUUGGAGUCUGCAACCCGACUCCAUGAAGUUGGAUUCGCUAGUAAUCGCGCAUCAGCCAUGGCGCGGUGAAUACGUUCCCGGGCCUUGUACACACCGCCCGU